CGCGUAGGUGGUCCUUCAAGUCAGAUGUUAAAUUUCUCGGCUUAACUGGGAAUGGUCAUCUGAUACUGCUGGACUUGAGGGUGGUAGAGGGAGGUGGAAUUCCCGGCGUAGUGGUGAAAUGCGUAGAUAUCGGGAGGAACACCAGUGGCGAAGGCGGCCUCCUAGGCCAUUCCUGACACUGAGGCGCGAAAGCGUGGGGAGCGAACAGGAUCAGAUACCCUGGUAGUCCACGCCCUAAACUGUGGAAACUAGGUACAGGGAGUAUCGACCCUUCCUGCGCCGUAGCUAACGCGUUAAGUUUCCCGCCUGGGGACUACGGUCGCAAGACUAAA
rnacentral:rRNA from 1 species